rnacentral:rRNA from 1 species
UACGAAGGGUGCAAGCGUUACUCGGAAUUACUGGGCGUAAAGCGUGCGUAGGUGGUUUGUUAAGUCUGAUGUGAAAUCUAUGGGCUCAACUCAUAGUCUGCAUCGGAAACUGCCGGGCUUGAGUAUGGGAGAGGUGAGUGGAAUUCCUGGUGUAGCGGUGAAAUGCGUAGAUAUCAGGAGGAACACCUGUGGCGAAAGCGGCUCACUGGACCAUAACUGACGCUGAUGCACGAAAGCUAGGGGAGCAAACAGG